UUUACAGUCAGAGAAAUGGCGGAGCGCAGUAUUUCAAUGGCGGCGGAGAGUGAAUAUAAAUGGACAGAACAGGACACAGAGGCCCUUAUCUGUUGGCGAACCGCCAACGAAAGCCUGUUCAGUGGCCACAGGAAUGCAGCCCAAAAGGGAUUUGAGGCCUUGAGGAAGAUGCUGCUCCACCACGUCUUCAUCAUGCCAAUCGCCCUUUCCACCACGCACCAUGCUUUGGCAUGAUGCCGGUUGUAUUGUGCAUGAACAGGGUUUUGCACCAGCUCCCUGAAUGGGGUCAUCAGGCUGAUUGGUGCAGCCAGGCAGGGAUACCCCCAUCCCCAACAAUACACCAGCCAUGAGGGGGGUAGAGGUGGUGUACGUACAGAGAACUCCACCGCAGGACCCUGGCAUCGUGGACAGAGCCCGGAAGUCCUGUGAACAAGGGUGAUGUAUUGUGAAUAUGUCAUUGUACUUGACAUGGUACAGGACAGAUUAUGUUGCUGCCCGUCUCAAACACUUCUGAAAUGUGACAUAAAUUGUGAUCAUACAAUAUACUUUAAAGUAAUUACAAUGUUUACAAUCAUGAGAUAAGUAGAAAUUCACACAUGAACAUAAUGACGUUGCAGUUGUUGGGUGAAAAACACAGUAAGUGUGAGUCCUGGUCCACAUUCACUUUAAUUGUAUGUGAGAUGACUGCAACACCUUUUUCCUGAAAAAGUCCUGCAGUGUUAUUUGGACUUAAAGUUAACCCAACCUUCCAUAGGUAUUAAUGUCAGUAAAUGAUGACUGAAUUAUUUAUUGGAUCAACAAUCCCUUAAGCAGUGUAAACUGUACUAAUACAUUUCUGACUUUCAUUUCUACCUGUAUAUGUAUUAAGGAAGCAGCCUUUGUGACCACACACCACCAGCAGCUGAAUGGAAGAGCUUCCUGUUGAACACAAAAUGUGGCUUGAUUCUAAUGUGUGUCCCAUCAAUGCUGCCAGCCACUCUGCAGAAGGAAUGAAAGAUGAACCACCCUCUUCAUGAUGCUGAUAAUACUUCCAGCGACUCGAUGCACAACAUCAUGAACCAUGGGGAUGGGGACAUCAAAGGCUCCUGACACCACCCGAUACGAGGUGGCACUGGCCAGCCAGUAUAAAUAUAUCCCCACUUCGAGGUCUUUGCUCCAGCCAUGGUCCUUGGUGUAUCCCAGACACUCCAGCAAGGCCUUCUGUAAUGAAGAUAAUAAAACUAAACUCAGUUGGGACACUAGUCUGGUGCUUUCCACUGGAUUCACUCAGGUGUGUCGGCCAGAACACCACUUCAGGCCUUAUUCCAGAAUAUGAAUAACAAGAGUGCAGAAUUGGUAGAAUGGCUGUUUAAACAGUCAUCUCAGUGGCCAGUCAAUAUGACAGAGUAUUGGGUCUUGUUGUGGUUUUCUAUAAGAAAAAGAAUAGCAGAAUAUAUACUUAAGGAACAUUCAUCUUACCUCUAUAACAUACAAAACACUAUACAGUAAUGUAAUAGGUUAUAAUAUGUAAAUAAAUAAAGGUAGGCUACAUGUCUCUUUAACCUAAAGUAUUAAACACAGAAAGGCUAUCGUAGGCUUAACAGUCAUACAAUCAUUCUCCUAUAAAAAUACUACGAUGCUUUUAUUGUGAAGCACGGACAUCAAAUUUUCCUCCUCGUGCAGAGAGCAACAGUUAGCAAACCUUGUAACUAACAGGAAACUAAAUGAACACUAAUAUUAACACGGGAAAGAAUUAGCACUAGGUAGGCUAAGCACAAACACGUCCUGGCCCUGACAUGCUUGCUAACUGUCCCCCGGCUUAGUUGGAGCCACACAGUAGUUGAAAAAGAGUCAUGUCGAAUUCAUUACAUGUUUGUGCUUAGGUUAUGAUUGAGAGGGAUGUUAUAUGAGUCUUGGUAUUUUUUUUAUUUUGAAUCACAUCAUCUGCUGUUGUUCACAAAGUCAUAUUAAAUAUAUUCUAUGAUUUUCUUCAUGACA